AGAGGGACAGAAAUAUUGUUUAAAUGAGGUCCUCUCUUCCUCCAAGAAUUGUGGUUCUGACUUCUUGCCUAGCUGCUAGGCCAAGCCACUGCCCAGGCUGCAGAGAGACCCCUGGGCUGCAGAGGCUUCUCCUGGAAAAACUCCUUAUUUCUUCUGGGGUCCUGGGGAAACUUGAAGUGGUUUGGUUUUUUAUUUCUUAUCUUUUUUUUAACUUAUCAGAAUAAGAAAUGAGAGACAAAGCGGAGCAAAACCAGAUGCGUUAAUCGAACAUAAGCUCUGCAGUCCCUGCACGUUUCUGAUGUGAAGUUGGCGCUGCUUUAUCAAGGCUUGCGACAAAUGGGGCCAAAAGCCUCGAAAUCUGCAGUUGUGCACUGCUGGAGCCCACAACACUUGACUUUUCUGCUCCGAUUCGUGGGCAGGACGGGAGCUGCUGGCCCAUGGGGACACGAUGGCCCCGGCAACAAUCCCUCCUUGUCCUGCUGGAAUGUGAACCCACGCCGGAGACCCGAGUGGGACACAGGCGACACCUCCUCUGUGGAGAAACCAGCUACUUGGAAAAGAAUGUUGCCUCUGUAGCAUUUCUUUCCUGGAGUCCCRAAAUUAAACAAAAUGAGAUUACAAAGGAGGCCGUGAACCGAACAGCGUGGUGUGCAGAGCUGGUGGGAACAGCGUGGUGUGCAGCCCCUGGACCUGGCUCUGGGGCUCACCCUCCACCUCUCAAAGCUUGAAAAUAUUUCCAUGGAGGAUGCUCAGAGGGGACUAAUUCUAAGGAAAGAAUGGACACUAACUAAUGCAAAUAUUAAGCUAGCUAUUACUGGCUGAAGCCAGAGAGAAUUCACUUUAUAGUACUAAGACUUCAAAUAGGCAAGAGCUUGCUGCAGAGUGGAGCAAACCUCUUCCCUGUGUCCAUCAGGGAAAGGUGCAGCAGUGGUAGGGGAGCAUUGUAUCGUGAAGGCUUUAUGAUAGAGCAGUGUCUCUUGGAAGGACUUGAGCGCUGGGAGAAACGGUUGAGCAGGAUGCGCUUGGUCACUCUUUAUUCCGAUCCAACCUGUUUUCCGUGGUUCAAUGGCAAUACCACGUGGCUGCUUCUUGCAGCUGCUUGCAGAGCUGCUUCAUCCAGCAGACGUGUCUGCUGUCGCCCUUGCUGACAGUGCUGGAAUUGCCAUCGGUGCCCACUGGCCUGUGACUCCCUUCCUGCAGAGUUAACUCCUGUGUAAAUACGGAGCAGGAGCCCCGAGCUGCUCCGGAGCUGUCAGGCCCAGGUCUUGUGCUCUACGUGGUGCCUUGUUUGGCAGCCAACAGAGCAACCAGAAAAGCAGCCUGGCAAGCGGAAAAAGAUCAAGCUCGGAAGAGGAUGAGAGGUUCUCCAUGGAAAGAGCAGUUUUUCUUUCCA